GGAUGUGGGAGCAAUCUGGUUGCAACAUCUGUCGCCCCAUUAAUCACUAGGGUUGAUAUGACUAAUCUGGCUGGUUAGGCAGGUAUCCCCUUCCUACCUCAUCAUUCCAUGUACAUGCCUCCCUAAGCUGCACUCUGGGUUGAAGAAGACAACCAUCUUGACCAUCUGCAAUAGAUGAAGAUAGGUCUUCAGUCAAAAAGUAUAUGAGUGGCUGCGCUUCCCUGCCAGAUCUUCCAAACAAUCUCUCUAGAAAUGUUCAAUAAAAAACAAUAAAAAUAAAAAUUUACUUU
rnacentral:snRNA from 1 species